UCCGGCUUAUCACCGGCAGUCCCACUAGAGUGCCCAACUAAAUGAUGGCAACUAAUGGCGAGGGUUGCGCUCGUUGCGGGACUUAACCCAACAUCUCACGACACGAGCUGACGACAGCCAUGCACCACCUGUAUACCGACCACAGGGGGGCCACAUCUCUGCAGCUUUCCGGUAUAUGUCAAACCCAGGUAAGGUUCUUCGCGUUGCAUCGAAUUAAUCCACAUGCUCCGCCGCUUGUGCGGGCCCCCGUCGAUUCCUUUGAGUUUUAGCCUUGCGGCCGUACUCCCCAGGCGGGGCACUUAAUGCGUUAGCUGCGGCACAGAACCAGUGGAACUGGCCCCACACCUAGUGCCCAACGUUUACGGCAUGGACUAC
rnacentral:misc_RNA from 1 species